AUAUUGGUCAAUGGGCGAGAGCCUGAACCAGCCAAGUCGCGUGAAGGAAGAAGGAUCUAUGGUUCGUAAACUUCUUUUGCAGGGGAAUAAAGUGCAGGACGUGUCCUGUUUUGUAUGUACCCUGAGAAUAAGGAUCGGCUAACUCCGUGCCAGCAGCCGCGGUAAUACGGAGGAUCCGAGCGUUAUCCGGAUUUAUUGGGUUUAAAGGGUGCGUAGGUGGUUUGAUAAGUCAGCGGUGAAAGUUUGCAGCUUAACUGUAAAAAUGCCGUUGAAACUGUCGGACUUGAGUGUAAAUGAGGUAGGCGGAAUGCGUGGUGUAGCGGUGAAAUGCAUAGAUAUCACGCAGAACUCCGAUUGCGAAGGCAGCUUACUAAGCUACAACUGACACUGAAGCACGAAAGCGUGGGGAUCAAACAGGAUUAGAUACCCUGGUAGUCCACGCAGUAAACGAUGAUUACUAGCUGUUUGCGAUACACAGUAAGCGGCACAGCGAAAGCGUUAAGUAAUCCACCUGGGGAGUACGCCGGCAACGGUGAAACUCAAAGGAAUUGACGGGGGCCCGCACAAGCGGAGGAACAUGUGGUUUAAUUCGAUGAUACGCGAGGAACCUUACCCGGGCUUGAAUUGCAGACGGAUCCGGCAGAGAUGCCGGAGUCCUUCGGGAAGUCUGUGAAGGUGCUGCAUGGUUGUCGUCAGCUCGUGCCGUGAGGUGUCGGCUUAAGUGCCAUAACGAGCGCAACCCUUAUUUCCAGUUACUAACAGGUAAUGCUGAGGACUCUGGAGAGACUGCCAGCGUAAGCUGUGAGGAAGGUGGGGAUGACGUCAAAUCAGCACGGCCCUUACAUCCGGGGCGACACACGUGUUACAAUGGUAAGGACAAAGGGCAGCUACCGGGCGACCGGAUGCGAAUCUCUAAACCUUAUCUCAGUUCGGAUCGGAGUCUGCAACUCGACUCCGUGAAGCUGGAUUCGCUAGUAAUCGCGCAUCAGCCAUGGCGCGGUGAAUACGUUCCCGGGCCUUGUACACACCGCCCGUCAAGCCAUGGGAGCCGGGGGUACCUGAAGUUCGUAACCGCAAGGAUCGACCUAGGGUAAAACUGGUGACUGGGGCUAAGUCGUAACAAGGUAGCCGUACCGGAAGGUGCGGCUG
rnacentral:rRNA from 1 species